GACGAACGCUGGCGGCGUGCUUAACACAUGCAAGUCGAACGGUGAAGCACCUUCCUUUUGGUGGGUGUGGAUGAGUGGCGAACGGGUGAGUAACACGUGAGUAACCUGCCCCCUUCUUCUGGAUAACCGCAUGAAAGUGUGGCUAAUACGGGAUAUUCUGGGUCUGUCGCAUGGCGGGCCUGGGAAAGAUAUUGUUUCGGUGGGGGAUGGGCUCGCGGUCUAUCAGCUUGUUGGUGGGGUGAUGGCCUACCAAGGCGGUGACGGGUAGCCGGCCUGAGAGGGUGGACGGUCACACUGGGACUGAGACACGGCCCAGACUCCUACGGGAGGCAGCAGUGGGGAAUAUUGCACAAUGGGCGCAAGCCUGAUGCAGCGACGCCGCGUGAGGGAUGGAGGCCUUCGGGUUGUAAACCUCUUUCGCCAGUGAAGCAGGCCUGUCCCUUUUGUGGGCGGGUUGACGGUAGCUGGAUAAGAAGCGCCGGCUAACUACGUGC
rnacentral:rRNA from 1 species